rnacentral:rRNA from 1 species
UACGGGGGGGGCAAGCGUUGUUCGGAAUUACUGGGCGUAAAGGGCUCGUAGGCGGCCAACUAAGUCAGACGUGAAAUCCCUCGGCUUAACCGGGGAACUGCGUCUGAUACUGGAUGGCUUGAGUUCGGGAGAGGGAUGCGGAAUUCCAGGUGUAGCGGUGAAAUGCGUAGAUAUCGGGAGGAACACCAGUGGCGAAGGCGGCGAUCUGGGAAGAUACUGACGCUGAGGUGCGAAAGCGUGGGGAGCAAACAGG